GACAAGGUGGUGAUGGGUCACAGGUUGGACCCGAUGGUCCUGGAGGUAUUUUCCAACCUCAGUGAUUCUGUGAAUCUGUGAUUUUACAUCUUCCUGCAAAGAUACAGGAUUUGUCACCAUUUCUCAGCUCCUUGGCAACAUGGCUCUGCCUGGGAAAAAAAGUUACUCCUUAAUGAAUCAUCUUUGUUAACUGACUAGGAGAUGUCCUGUUUCAUUCAAACUCAGGAUAUUCUGUGAUUCCAUGAACCCCAGGUGCCCAGGCUGUGCUCGGUGACAGAUGAGGAGCCGCUGUGACAUCGCUGCAGCUGCCACAGCCUGUGCUGUGGUUUGGCUGCUCGUGGGCUGUCUAGACAAGCCUUCGAGAGAGCCAUGUUCUUCUGGUUCCCAUUUGA